AACAAACGCUGGCGGCGUGUCUUAAGCAUGCAAGUUGAGCGGCAAGGAGGAGAGAUCCUCCCUAGAGCGGCGGACUGGUGAGUAACGCGUGGGUAAUCUAUCGUAGGCAUGGGGAUAGUCACUAGAAAUAGUGGGUAAUACCGAAUACGUUCCAUAAGGGGAGUACUUAUGGAAGAAAGGGUGCUACGGCACUGGCCUUAGGUGAGCUCGCGUCCCAUUAGCUAGUUGGUGAGGUAAAGGCCCACCAAGGCGAUGAUGGGUAGCCGGCCUGAGAGGGUGUACGGCCAACGACUGGGACUGAGAUACGGCCCAGACUCCUACGGGAGGCAGCAGCUAAGAAUAUUCCGCAAUGGACGGAAGUCUGACGGAGCGACGCCGCGUGGAUGAAGAAGGCCGAAAGGUUGUAAAGUUCUUUUGCUAGGGGAGAAUAAGUGAGGGAGGGAAUGCCCUCAUGAUGACAAGGACUAGCGAAUAAGCCCCGGCAACUACGUGCCAGCAGCCGAC
rnacentral:rRNA from 1 species